CCGAAUUGUCAACAAGAGUUGUUGCUGGUCUUCAAAAUGAGGGCAUGUGCACGCUCUGUUUACACAUCCACUCACACCUGUGCACUUUCCAUAGUUCUAUAGUUGGAGAGGCCCUGCCUCCCUUCCAUGGUCCUAUGUCUCUUCAUACACACACACACUCGGUGAUACAGUCUUGUGGAAUGUAUGCUGCGUUUGACGCAAUACAAUA
rnacentral:misc_RNA from 1 species